GCAGCCUCUGAUGAGGAGCAAGAAUGCCCCCUCUCAUCCAGCCUUGUCAGGGCCAAGUGAAAGAAGCCCGGGCAGGCCUGGGGAAGCUGCCCAAGGAGCCUCAGUAGUCAAUGCUGGCAUCGUUUCUCUCUCAGCCCCGUCUCUGUCACUUUGAAGCUUUCUACUGGUUUCCUUUGAGUCCCCUCAGCUCCCCAGUCAGAUCAAGGAAGAGCUGGUUGUUGCUUUCACAGACUUCAGGGGCAAGCAGAUCUGAGUACCUCGGGGGUCAAACAGACCUGCCCCAACCACAGCGUUGAAGAGGAGAUCCAUUUCCUAAAAAUGGGGGGAGACGGCUAUUGGUGGGAUACUCUAUUCACAUCUGUCUCCACUGCAUGUCUACAGAACGGCUCCCUGUAGUCUGGGAGUAGCGUUCCCUGGCUUCUCUGAGCUUCCUGCGGUCCACGAAAGGCUGUUUCCCUUGACAGAAGCCUUUCCUCUUCUUCCAUAUCUGGUUGACUGCAUGUCCUUUGGAGCCAGCCCUCUGGACUGAGGACUUGAAUCUCUGAUUAAUCCGCCCAGUACUCAGCUCCAUGGCCUCAGUGGUGUCCACGAGACUCUUGACACGGGACCUAUUCACAAGGGAAGGCACCUCCCCACAGAUGCACCUGAAAGCCGUGGACCCUGUGAUUCUCAGGAAUUCGGCUGACUGAUGGAGCAAUCCUUCCCACACGGGUGAAGGUGGAGGACUCCCCUUGACCCAGACACACGGGUAUUCCGUGAGUUUCUUGACGGUGCCAGUUCCUCUGAAGUAUGGAUUUUACUCCUUGGUGUUGUCUGAUUAGAUAAACUCUCCAAGAUAAAGAUCCGGAUAUAUUGGCAAGGGACCUGGCUUUUAGAAAACAUAUUCCUCAGAUUUAAAGUUGUAGGCCCUCUUUUCUCUCCAGAAACUCAGUCAUUUGCCCUGCAGAAUUUUCUACACUGUGGAUUUGCCUGACUACACCCUGUGGUGCUGUUCCUCUAUCUUGUUCUGGCCCAUAGGAUAAGAAGAAACCAAGUCCUAAAAGUAGGCCAGCACCAGGGUUCAGGCCUCUGACUUCAAGCCAAGGGCUCAUCAUCUUGAAUUGCGCACGAAUUUUUACACAGCGCCAAAGGAAACUGCCUGUACUUACUGUUGUAGGUGCUUUGCUGGAUUCAGGAUGCAGACAAGGUCCACGCAUUGUGGUUGGGUGAGGUGUCUUUUAGGUCUCUUUUAAUCUGUAAUACUUCUCCCUCUCUUUUAAAAAUGCAUUUAUUUGUUGAAAAAA
rnacentral:lncRNA from 1 species